UUUCUUAAUCUUGGAUGAGGGUUGUCAUUUUUACACCUAUUGAGCUUUGUUCAACUUUGUUUGGUCAUAUUGUCACUUUAAUUUCUUGACUGUUUUUGCAAUCUUUUACUAUAAAAAUAAUAUUAAUCUUUAACUAAGAUCUCAUUUCAUACAUUUGUAAUUGAUGCUUUACAUUCCAAACAUUUGGCUUUCUUAUUUUCUUCCACUAAUUCUCUAUUCUAUUCCAAUACGACAAAAUGUAGUGUUUAUGCUAUUCUGGUUGACAUUAUCUUGCUAAAUGAUCAAUUUGUGAGUGAAUUUUAAAAAAAAUAACACACUUCAGUUCAUAUUGGUGUUAUUAUAUAAAAUGUCUUAUGUCAAUCGUGAAAUAGGGCUUCAAAGAUGAGGCUUAGUUGAAGCUUAAUGUUGCCUCAUUUUUUUUCAUUUUGUGUUGUAUAAGUUAUGUGAUGUGAUUCUGUGCUAAUAGGUGAUUUUUUUAUCAAAGAUGAUCCAGAAGAUCCAAGCAUGAAAGAUGCAUAUGUUUUUGUCUAAUUUUAUACGGUCCAUGAUAAAUACCUAUAAUGCUCCCAUUUACAGCAUCAUCAGCUGAAAGCAUGUCUGCAAGCCCGGAGCAGUAUUGUGCAUACAAAUUCAGCAACUCCUAAAUGUUAAUUGCUAAUUUGAUAACAUUCAGCUACUCUUGAUGUUCACUUUCUUCUUACUGUCAAUUUGCUUAAUAAACAGUGUAUUUUUUUUGUGAACAAAAUGCUAUUUAACCAUGUAAUGUUGUGAAGCAUGCUAAUAGUUCAAUACAAAACAGUCAUCUAAUGUUGUGAAG